rnacentral:rRNA from 1 species
CUCCUACGGGUGGCAGCAGUGGGGAAUCUUGCACAAUGGAGGAAACUCUGAUGCAGCGACGCCGCGUGGACGACGAAGCCCUUCGGGGUGUAAAGUCCUUUCGACCGGAACGAUAAUGACGGUACCGGUGGAAGAAGCUGCGGCUAACUACGUGCCAGCAGCCGCGGUAAUACGUAGGCAGCAAGCGUUGUUCGGAAUUAUUGGGCGUAAAGAGCUCGUAGGCGGUUUGCCAAGUUUGGUGUGAAAUCUCCCGGCUUAACUGGGAGGGUGCGCCGAAUACUAGCAGGCUAGAGUACGGGAGAGGAAAGCGGAAUUCCUGGUGUAGCGGUGAAAUGCGUAGAUAUCAGGAGGAACACCUGCGGUGUAGACGGCUUUCUGGACCGAAACUGACGCUGAGGAGCGAAAGCGUGGGUAGCAAACAGGAUUAGAUACCCUGGUAGUCCACGCCCUAAACGAUGCAUACUUGGUGUGAGCCAUUCAAUUGGUUCGUGCCGAAGCUAACGCGUUAAAUAUGCCG